rnacentral:rRNA from 1 species
UACAGAGGUCCCAAGCGUUGUUCGGAUUCACUGGGCGUAAAGGGUGCGUAGGUGGUGAGGUAAGUCGGUGUGAAAUCUCCGGGCUCACCCGGAAAUGGCAUUGGAAACUACCUUGCUUGAGGAUUUGAGGGGGGAUUGGAAUACUUGGUGUGAGCAGUGAAAAUGCGUAGAUAUCAAGUGGAACACCAGUGGCGAAGGCGAAAUCCCUGGAAAAUACCUGAGCACUGAGGCACGAA